AUAUCCCUGCGGUGUUCGUCGAGUAAUCGAUGAUUUUUGAACCAACAAAAAUGCAACGGAAGCCUCAACUUGGAAACGGCCUUGGCCUUUUUCAGCGGCUUCCACCUGUAACCUAAUGGUUCAGCUAAUCGUACUUGACGGCACAGGCGGGGAAACA
rnacentral:other from 1 species